GCGGACUCCGGCGGCGCGCGGCCCGCCGUGCGCAAGGACGGCAGCCUCGACGUGGCCUCCUGCGCCUGGGAGCCGGCCGCCGGCGCCGCCUCCCGCAAGGGCAACGACGUCUGUCCCUGGGAGGACGAGGAGAGCUGUAAGGUGGAUGCUCCAUACGUGAAGACUUAUGCAACACUUGGUUACCUUUAAAUGUUUUUUUAUGAAAAAUUUAUCCUAAAAACAUUAAGUUAGCAUAAUAGAUUAGUUGAAGCCUUCAGAAGUGAGUUGUUGAGAUCUGUGUUGUUAUUCACUUUACAUUCGUAGUGUCAGCAGCUCUGUCCCUUGAAUAAAAGAUAAUAAAAGAUAGAAUGGCAUGGUAUACAAUGGCAAAUGGUAGAAUGCAAUGUAGUCACUGUCAAAACUCUUUGAAAGAAUGAUUUAUCAUUUUUAUUUGAGCAGAUUUAUUAAGUUAUGUUGAGUCCUUAAAACUUCUGCUCUUUUUUAUGAAGCUUCUGGAAUAUUAUUUUCCUGGUGGCUUGGCAUGACUUAGAGUUGUUUCUUGAAUAUUUAAUUUAUUGGUACAAGUAACUAUUUAACUCAUAUUUCAUGUUGCUCACCCAAAGAGCUUUCAUUGAUAUAUCAAUGAUCUGUGUCAUAUACUAAUGAUGAUGUUUGUGCUGCUUUAGAAUAUUGUGACUUGUAUUAAUAACUAAUAAAAAUUGCUUAAAGGGAAAAAAUAGAAGUUAAAUGUAGGACUGUGUGUAAGGACAAGCUUAGAUUUAAUAAACAUGUAAACAGCAGCAUCAUUUUCCUUGUUAAUCUGUGUGGUGGAUCCGGCUGGCGCUGAGUUUGUUCAGUGUGAGGCAAAUGUUGUCAGGACUGAAGAGCUGCAAAACUGAGCCCUUGUAACAGCCACGGCCUGACAAUUGCGUCCCACAAUGGGCUCAACUCUUCUGCGCCCCCGGCGCCCCUCACAAAAGCCAAGCUUUGUCUGCUCAACACAGUAUCUUGAAUCAUAUCUUCUCAAUAAAGUAUCUUAAAGAAAGCUGGUUUCCUUCCUACUAUCAGCUCUGAGUCCAUGUGGUCUUGUUUCAGUCUGUCAAAAGAAAGAUUUUAUCAACGUUUUCAGUACUGAAAAAUUUGCCAAGAGAAUAAAUAAAAGAAAGAAACAAUUAUUUGAUCCACAUUUAAUGCUCUCAAGGAAAGUUUAGAAAAGUCACUAGACCACAGGAUGUGGGCUAUAAUACAGAACCCUGGACCAAUAUGUAGUUGGGGUGACAAAAUACUGUAUUAACAUAAUAUAUAAUUUCAGUAUUAAUACAAUGAAAUUUAUUGCUCUGUUUUGAUAAGCAAUGUAGCUAAGUGUGCUACUCUACAUAUAUAUAUAUGUAUAUCUAUAUAUAGACACAUAUUACAUUCAUAAGUACUGUAUCAGAUUAUUAUAUAAUUAUCUGCAUGUUAACUUAAGUGUGUGUGUGUGUGUGUGUGUGUGUGUGUGUGUGUGUGUGUGUGUGUGUGUGUUACUAUCACAUACAAACAUAAUCAAAUAAAUUAUGUGGUUAUAUUGGAUGUUGUGGAUGAAUGUGAAUUACUCAAUUAUAAUUAUUACACAUAGUUAUAAAUAUAUUAAACUGAACUGUAGUUUUUAGCUUUCGUAUAAACUUUGCGAUGUUUUAUGUGUGUGGAUGCACACCAUUUGCUUGUUUACUUCAGUACAGUUAGACAAUGUGUCAUAGAUUUUGUAGUUAAUCAUGCCAAGUCAUCAUAGUAGCUUGACAUUAUUUUUAAAGUUAGUAACAGUUUUUUGUUCAGCAGAAAGCUCUAAUUACACAAUAGUUGAGUCAUGAUGAUACAAUAUUGGAUCUUGGAUAGAGAUUUAUCUUGAAGAUAUGUACUUCAUUUAGACUGUGCAAUUGCUUAUUUUAAAUAUAAUUUUAAUGAAAUGAACAGUCAACUUAUCCAGUUACAAAGAUGAGAUUGAUAGCCACAACAAAGAAGAUUCUAUAAUUAGCAUCUGUUCCACACAAUAUCUACAAUCUGAAUAUCUGUGUUGUGCUCUUCUGACCAUGAGUGAUGUGGAUCCUCAUUUAUGGAAUGCAGUUGAUGGAAAUGCUGACAGUACAAAUGCUAGGAAGUGUUAAUAACUAAUGUAAUUUAUCUGAAAUUUUGAACAUGCUCGAACAACCCCAUGCCAACAGCCCACACUGAUGACCUAAUGUGGAGCACUGUGAAGAGAGUGCUUUUAAAAAUCAGACUUCCACAUAAUUUAAAAUGUGAACAAAUUAAAAGUAUUACUUACAUUUUUAUGUAAUUGUCUAAAAUAAGCCUAUUUUAAUGUGGUCAUAAUGUAUUAAUAAUCAUUGUGUUAGUAGAAAUUACAUGUCUUAACUGAUUUUCAACUAAACACAGUCAAAUAUAUUACUACAUAGAAUUGGAAUAGUAAAAGAACAGUACACAAAAUUCAUAUUUCAGAUACUGAUUGGCAUAUAAACUGUUUUAUUCCUUCUCUUAGAUUUAUUUGUUUACAUCUGUAAGUGCUUAUUUUACCAACAAAACAAAUGAAAAUAAUUUAAAUGGUACACUUUCCACUAAAAAUAGCAUUUUUUAAAGUGAGAGAAUUAGUAAUUGUUAGUAAGUGACAUACUAUAAAUGUAUAUAUUAAAGUGUUAAGAAAAAGAAUGUAGUCAUUUGCAUAUAAGUUUACUUCAAAUACCCAAGAGCAGAAACUGAGUAUUAACAAUGAAGAAAUACCAUGAUUAAAAGAAGAUAAUCUGAGUGUUGUUGCUUUUUUUAUGUGGACCAAUGUGAUGGAUUAAAAUUAGGUUGUAGCAGCUUGUGGUGUUAAGCCAAGUAAAACAAAAAAUGACCUAGUGAGAAUAAAUGUUUGUGCAGCAUACGCAAGUUAACAGUACUACUUUAAUACUUUGAACUACAUUUAGAGCAUGCAGAAUGAACCCAUCUGUCCCUCACCUAGAUUCAUUGUGCUUGAAUACUGGCCACAACUGGGACCUUGCCUGCUAACAUAAAAUAUUUAAGUAAUUCUGUAGUAAUAAAUUAAAUCAUAUACUAACACUUUUGUGUAUUAUUACCUUUAUAAUGUCCUUCUCCUCAUAAUUUAAGCAGUGUGCUAUUGAAACUAGGGUGAGCCUGAUGGAUCUUUUCUAUUCUACUUUACAGAGCAAUGAUAAAUGUCUGUAAUGGGCCUAGAAAAUUUUGUGUACUGUAUUUCAUGAAUAACAUAAAAGUAAUGAAAAUGUGAUUCUGUAUCCUUUCACUAUUGUCAGCACCUAUGUCUGUGUGUGUGUGUGUGUGUGUGUGUGUGUGUGUGUGUGUGUGUGUGUGUGUGUGUGUGUGUGUUUCCUUAAAACAAAAACAUAAAUUAUUUAUAUUGUUGUUUACUAUUUCAGUUUUAAAGUAAGUUGAUUAAUAUUAGUGAAGUCAGUCCUGUCAAAUUUGAAAUAUUCUUGACUAAAAAUUUAGAAGUAAAGUUAAAUAAUACAAUCAGAAAAUGGUAAUAUGUAUGACUCAAGAGUUGUGGCUAAUUAAUGUAUUCAAAUUGAAGUUUCAAAAUUUUUCAUUCACUAUUCAACUGACUUAAUUGGAUACACACCAGUCAAGAAUAACGUUCAGGUUCAUAUAUGGUCAUAGGAAAGAAUUAUGAUUUGGCAGAUACUAAAUGAAAGAAUUAAUUGAACUGUACAUAUAAUUAGUUUUGUAAUGUUAUGCAUAUAUAAAUGUAUUUAGUUAAUACCUACACAUUUAGGAAAAGCUGUUAACAUGUUGUAUAUGAAAAUGAUGUAGAUUACUGUGGUUUAAAAAAAUAAUAAAAAAUAAAGUGUUUUAAAACUUGAAA